rnacentral:tRNA from 1 species
UUAGUCGAAACCAAAGAGAGGUAUAUCACUGUUAAUGAUAAAAAUGAAUAGAAAUUCCGUCUAAG